AAACUGAAGAGUUUGAUCCUGGCUCAGAGUGAACGCUGGCGGCGUGGAUUAGGCAUGCAAGUCGA
rnacentral:rRNA from 1 species